UACGAAGGUGGCAAGCGUUGUUCGGAUUUACUGGGCGUACAGGGCGCGUAGGCGGUUGGAUAAGCCCUCCGUGAAAUCUCCAGGCUUAACCUGGGAAUUGCGCUCGAAACUACGGAGCUGGAGUAUGGCAGAGGGAGGUGGAAUUCCACGUGUAGCGGUGAAAUGCGUAGAGAUGUGGAGGAACACCAAUGGCGAAGGCAGCCUCCUGGGCCAAUACUGACACUCAUGCACGAAAGCGUGGGGAGCAAACAGG
rnacentral:rRNA from 1 species